rnacentral:rRNA from 1 species
GGGGAAUAUUGGGCAAUGGGGGGACCCUGACCCAGCAACGCCGCGUGGAGGAAGAAGGUUUUCGGAUCGUAAACUCCUGUCCUUGGAGACGAGUAGAAGACGGUAUCCAAGGAGGAAGCCCCGGCUAACUACGUGCCAGCAGCCGCGGUAAUACGUAGGGGGCAAGCGUUGUCCGGAAUAAUUGGGCGUAAAGGGCGCGUAGGCGGCUCGGUAAGUCUGGAGUGAAAGUCCUGCUUUUAAGGUGGGAAUUGCUUUGGAUACUGUCGGGCUUGAGUGCAGGAGAGGUUAGUGGAAUUCCCAGUGUAGCGGUGAAAUGCGUAGAUAUUGGGAGGAACACCAGUGGCGAAGGCGGCCUGCUGGACAUUAACUGACGCUGAGAAGCGAAAGCGUGGGGAGCAAACAGGAUUAGAUACCCUGGUAGU